AUGCCAGGGUGAUAGAGUUAACUCUUGAGAGU
rnacentral:piRNA from 1 species